rnacentral:rRNA from 1 species
UGCAGUCGAACGCUUUUUCUUUCACCGGAGCUUGCUCCAUCGAAAGAAAAAGAGUGGCGAACGGGUGAGUAACACGUGGGUAACCUGCCCAUCAGAAGGGGAUAACACUUGGAAACAGGUGCUAAUACCGUAUAACACUAUUUUCCGCAUGGAAGAAAGUUGAAAGGCGCUUUUGCGUCACUGAUGGAUGGACCCGCGGUGCAUUAGCUAGUUGGUGAGGUAACGGCUCACCAAGGCCACGAUGCAUAGCCGACCUGAGAGGGUGAUCGGCCACACUGGGACUGAGACACGGCCCAGACUCCUACGGGAGGCAGCAGUAGGGAAUCUUCGGCAAUGGACGAAAGUCUGACCGAGCAACGCCGCGUGAGUGAAGAAGGUUUUCGGAUCGUAAAACUCUGUUGUUAGAGAAGAACAAGGAUGAGAGUAGAACGUUCAUCCCUUGACGGUAUCUAACCAGAAAGCCACGGCUAACUACGUGCCAGCAGCCGCGGUAAUACGUAGGUGGCAAGCGUUGUCCGGAUUUAUUGGGCGUAAAGCGAGCGCAGGCGGUUUCUUAAGUCUGAUGUGAAAGCCCCCGGCUCAACCGGGGAGGGUCAUUGGAAACUGGGAGACUUGAGUGCAGAAGAGGAGAGUGGAAUUCCAUGUGUAGCGGUGAAAUGCGUAGAUAUAUGGAGGAACACCAGUGGCGANNGCGGCUCUCUGGUCUGUAACUGACGCUGNNNUCGAAAGCGUGGGGAGCGAACAGGAUUAGAUACCCUGG